rnacentral:miRNA from 2 species
AUUGACACUUUUGUGAGUAG